CCUACGGGAGACAGCAGUGAGGAAUAUUGGUCAAUGGCCGAGAGGCUGAACCAGCCAAGUCGCGUGAGGGAAGACGGCCCUACGGGUUGUAAACCUCUUUUGUCGGGGAGCAAAGCGAGUCACGUGUGACUCAUUGAGAGUACCCGACGAAAAAGCAUCGGCUAACUCCGUGCCAGCAGCCGCGGUAAUACGGAGGAUGCGAGCGUUAUCCGGAUUUAUUGGGUUUAAAGGGUGCGCAGGCGGAGGUGCAAGUCAGCGGUCAAAUUGCGGGGCUCAACCCCGUACUGCCGUUGAAACUGCAGCCCUUGAGUGCGCGAGAAGUAGGCGGAAUGCGUGGUGUAGCGGUGAAAUGCAUAGAUAUCACGCAGAACUCCGAUUGCGAAGGCAGCAUACCGGCGCGCAACUGACGCUCAUGCACGAAAGCGUGGGUAUCGAACAGGAUUAGAUACCCCUGUAGUC
rnacentral:rRNA from 1 species